AAAAAGGCAAACCCUUGGUUUGCGUGUCUAACUUUGACUGUCCGUCUUAUAUGAAAUUUUUUUAUAAUUCGUAUUUUUAUUGUUGUUAGAUAAUAAAACAUGAUUAAUAUUUUAUAUGUGACUUGUUUAAUAUUUUAUUAUGUGACUUGUCUUUUUAAUUUUUUCAUAUUUUUUUUUAAAUAAGACGGACAGUCAAACGUUAGACACGGAAACUAGGGUUUGUCUUUUU
rnacentral:pre_miRNA from 1 species